GGGGCUGUAGCUCAGCUGGGAGAGCACCUGCUUUGCAAGCAGGGGGUCAGGAGUUCGAUCCUCCUCAGCUCCACAA
rnacentral:tRNA from 5 species